ACGGGAGGCAGCAGUGGGGAAUAUUGGGCAAUGGGCGCAAGCCUGACCCAGCAACGCCGCGUGAAGGAAGAAGGUUUUCGGAUUGUAAACUUCUGUCCUAAGUGACGAACACAAUGACGGUAGCUUAGGAGGAAGCCCCGGCUAACUACGUGCCAGCAGCCGCGGUAAUACGUAGGGGGCAAGCGUUGUCCGGAAUGACUGGGCGUAAAGGGCGUGUAGGCGGCCUGAUAAGUCUGGAGUGAAAGUCCUGCUUUUAAGGUGGGAAUUGCUUUGGAGACUGUCGGGCUUGAGUGCGGAAGAGGUAAGUGGAAUUCCCAGUGUAGCGGUGAAAUGCGUAGAGAUUGGGAGGAACACCAGUGGCGAAGGCGACUUACUGGGCCGUAACUGACGCUGAGGCGCGAAAGCGUGGGGAGCAAACAGGAUUAGAUACCCUGGUA
rnacentral:rRNA from 1 species